GAGUAAUGCUUCUAUAUAUUUUUUUUUUGGUUACCGUUCAUUCACGUGUAUUCAACGGCUCAGAUUUAGUUUUUUUAAAAUUGUGACCUGCAAUAGCAGGUCACUUUGGGAGAGGUACCGGUUACCAGGUACCUCAAAAAAGAAUAUUUUUGUCUUUUAAUACAUGGGCAAUUUAGUCAUUUUACAUCUACUAUAUUUUCAAAAUUUUUAUUUUUUCUUUGUUUCCUUUUUCUCUCUCUAUCUUUCCUUUCAUAAUUUGGCAUUUCAUAUAAGGAAAAUUUCAAAUGUUUUGACAAUAUAAUCAUUGAAUUUAAACUUUAAAUAGUAAUAUGAAAUUCCUCUAAUUUAAAUUUCACUUUUAAAUUUAAAAUUUAAUAUUAUAUUCAAAUUUAUAUUUUAAAAAUUUAAGUUUCAUAUAAAUACUUUGAAAUAUGGUAAACAGAAAUAAUUGUUUGAAUUCUAGUCUUCUGGUUUAGGUUUGAUUUUGGGUUUCGAAAAAUUGGUCAGUUUUGAAUUUGGAUAUGGAUUUUUGAAAUCCGUCGAGUUCGGAAAUAAGUUUUGUGAUUGUUAGUCAGAUUCGAAUUCAAAUUCCUAACUAUUUUUUUUCUCACCAAUAAUUCUAAUCUUUUUAAUUUAUAUGUUUAAAAUUAUAUUUAAAAUAUU
rnacentral:lncRNA from 1 species